UACGUAGGGUGCGAGCGUUGUCCGGAAUUAUUGGGCGUAAAGAGCUCGUAGGCGGUGUGUCGCGUCGGCCGUGAAAACCUGCAGCUUAACUGUGGGCUUGCGGUCGAUACGGGCAUCACUGGAGUUCGGCAGGGGAGACUGGAAUUCCUGGUGUAGCGGUGAAAUGCGCAGAUAUCAGGAGGGAACACCGGUGGGCGAAGGCGGGUCUCUGGGCCGAUACUGACGC
rnacentral:rRNA from 1 species